rnacentral:rRNA from 1 species
CAUGCAAGUCGAACGAACUCUGGUAUUGAUUGGUGCUUGCAUCAUGAUUUACAUUUGAGUGAGUGGCGAACUGGUGAGUAACACGUGGGAAACCUGCCCAGAAGCGGGGGAUAACACCUGGAAACAGAUGCUAAUACCGCAUAACAACUUGGACCGCAUGGUCCGAGUUUGAAAGAUGGCUUCGGCUAUCACUUUUGGAUGGUCCCGCGGCGUAUUAGCUAGAUGGUGGGGUAACGGCUCACCAUGGCAAUGAUACGUAGCCGACCUGAGAGGGUAAUCGGCCACAUUGGGACUGAGACACGGCCCAAACUCCUACGGGAGGCAGCAGUAGGGAAUCUUCCACAAUGGACGAAAGUCUGAUGGAGCAACGCCGCGUGAGUGAAGAAGGGUUUCGGCUCGUAAAACUCUGUUGUUAAAGAAGAACAUAUCUGAGAGUAACUGUUCAGGUAUUGACGGUAUUUAACCAGAAAGCCACGGCUAACUACGUGCCAGCAGCCGCGGUAAUACGUAGGUGGCAAGCGUUGUCCGGAUUUAUUGGGCGUAAAGCGAGCGCAGGCGGUUUUUUAAGUCUGAUGUGAAAGCCUUCGGCUCAACCGAAGAAGUGCAUCGGAAACUGGGAAACUUGAGUGCAGAAGAGGACAGUGGAACUCCAUGUGUAGCGGUGAAAUGCGUAGAUAUAUGGAAGAACACCAGUGGCGAAGGCGGCUGUCUGGUCUGUAACUGACGCUGAGGCUCGAAAGUAUGGGUAGCAAACAGGAUUAGAUACCCUGGUAGUCCAUACCGUAAACGAUGAAUGCUAAGUGUUGGAGGGUUUCCGCCCUUCAGUGCUGCAGCUAACGCAUUAAGCAUUCCGCCUGGGGAGUACGGCCGCAAGGCUGAAACUCAAAGGAAUUGACGGGGGCCCGCACAAGCGGUGGAGCAUGUGGUUUAAUUCGAAGCUACGCGAAGAACCUUACCAGGUCUUGACAUACUAUGCAAAUCUAAGAGAUUAGACGUUCCCUUCGGGGACAUGGAUACAGGUGGUGCAUGGUUGUCGUCAGCUCGUGUCGUGAGAUGUUGGGUUAAGUCCCGCAACGAGCGCAACCCUUAUUAUCAGUUGCCAGCAUUAAGUUGGGCACUCUGGUGAGACUGCCGGUGACAAACCGGAGGAAGGUGGGGAUGACGUCAAAUCAUCAUGCCCCUUAUGACCUGGGCUACACACGUGCUACAAUGGAUGGUACAACGAGUUGCGAACUCGCGAGAGUAAGCUAAUCUCUUAAAGCCAUUCUCAGUUCGGAUUGUAGGCUGCAACUCGCCUACAUGAAGUCGGAAUCGCUAGUAAUCGCGGAUCAGCAUGCCGCGGUGAAUACGUUCCCGGGCCUUGUACACACCGCCCGUCACACCAUGAGAGUUUGUAACACCCAAAGUCGGUGGGGUAACCUUUUAGGAACCAGCCG